CUGGAAUGAUGAGAUUCCACUUCAAAUGGUCCGUGUUUCUGAACCGUAUGAUAACAGUGGAAGUUCUGAUGCG
rfam:Callipepla squamata strain Texas jcf7180005233831, whole genome shotgun sequence.